CCAGAGACAGGGUGCAGCUACAGUGUGCACAGGGACGACCCCUCCUCUGGGCAUCUCUCCCCUCAUGUGUGUCUGUUCCCUGUCUCUCUAG
rnacentral:precursor_RNA from 1 species